rnacentral:lncRNA from 1 species
GAACAGGAUCUGUUCUAUAGGAUCGUACCUCUGUGUCCUUUAGCACUAAGGAGACUAGUACUCAAGUCUGGUGGAUGAAUGAUAGUCACUUGAUCAGGGCGUGAUUAACGGCCUUGAUGGUCUUCGGACGAUCUACGGUUGUAGAUGAUCGUUCUUGGCUUGCUCCGGCAGUCUGGAUGGUCUUGUGGCUUUCUGACAGACUAACCUCUUCCUUUUUUGGCUUCCAUUUUUUUUUUGCUUGAUGUGACGAACCGGAGGCUGAGUAGUAUAGUGUGGAGUUCAAUAGAGUCUCACUGCUUGAUGAAAUUUCGUCAUGGCAUUGCUUCCAUCUGAUAUUCUUCUGUAAUGUAAAAGGUUAGAGUACGAUUGAGCUUAUUUUCAACAUGAUCCUACCACGACCAAUCUGUGGAAUAGAUUCUGCUUUUCUUUUUCAUUGAACAGAUUCAUGUAGGACGGUCCUAUUCCCACAAUCGCUAGUUCGAAACUUGUGGUGGUGAGAACAUUAUCGUCCCUUAAGCUGCGAGAUUAGCGGCUCUCUUCUCAGUUCUCACAUAAACAUUUCUGCAGCUAGCUAGCUGGUUAUGUUAUGUUCACAUUCAAAAAUUUCUGGUUGUUCUCUGAGUCAGUAUAGUGCGGAGUUUCGAGACAGUUACUGCUUGACGAAGUUUCGUAAUGGACGCCUCCUUAUGCUCGUGUUGCUGUAGUUACAGUAAAUAGUGCUCUGGCUUUCAAUGAUACCAUACUAAUUUCUUAAGGUACGUAGUGAUGUCUGAUAAGCAUAUGCAGUAGUUUUCCCCAGAUUAAGAACUCUGCCAAGACCAAACUUUAAUCUAGCUUGUUGGAUCCAGAUUGUAGUUUCAUCGAUCUCUGCAUACUUCUGUUGUAUACCGAUUUUACGGUAGGUGCUUAUCUUCGGAUGUGGAGAUAAGUUCUAAUUUAUGUUCCAUCACCACAUCGGCUAACAUAGAACAGAAUGAACAAUUUCUGGGUAUAAAGACACAAGGCAAUGCAACGUUGAAACAUACUUACCUGGACGGGGUCAAUGGCUGAUCAUGAAGAGUCAUGGCCUAGAGUGGUGGCCUCCAUUGCACAUAUCGGAGGGGUGCCAUUCUAAGGUCUCCUCAAAGUAGGAGAGCCUACGUCAUAAUUUGUUGCUGCGGGGGCUGCGUUCGCGCGGCCCCUACCCAAUUCCUCAGUUGAACUUUUCUUGUCCUUUUGAUCAAAGUUGGAUGUAGUUUCUGUAACUGGUUUCGACAGUUUGAGCUACUUAUCUGAGUAGAAAUUGGUGCAGGUGGCUAUGAAUAUCACUACUGUGAAUGUGUGAGAAUCACAGGCUGCUUGAGGAAGAAAAUGCAGUCUGAUCUUUGUUUGUCGUUGAAAGGGUUCAUGUACAUAUCCACCAUGGUAACUAGAAAGCUCGAUAAUUGGUGGUGGUGAUGAGAACAUUGUCUGUCUUAUUAUGUACCCUAUGUAUCGAAGAUAUCUGUUCGAGACGUAGGAACAAAGCUUGAAUGGCAAUGGUAUUAAAUAUGCAUGAAAAUACGACAGAAAAUAUCUGAAAAAUAUGGUAAUUUAUUCUUCACCUUUGGAGUCUUUUUUGCUAGAAAACCGACAAUGAAGAAGGAAAGGGGGGAGGGGAGGGUGAUUAUAAAGAAAAAUAGGGGGAGGGGAGGGUGAUUAUAAAGAAAAAUAGUGUUUCGUGAUAUGGUUAUUGAAUUAUUUCCUAUGUAGAGAGAUACGGGGACGACAUGCGUGAGGUUGUUGACGCUGUAACGGGCGUUGACACCUAUUAUAAUGAAGUUAUAUAUCAUAUUCAUUUUGGUUUUGAACGGGUGAAAAGAGUAUCUGUAAGUCUAUCUUGGAUACGUUUUAGAUAAUGAAUUUAGUCAUUUCCUGCUGUAAAGAAUGAAGACCGUUGGUUAAAGGAGCCCUUCACAUCAUACCAAAGUUCUUGUAUAGUAGAAGGCACUCGUCUCUGGCUCACGCUAAACAAUAUAAAUUGAAUUCAAACAUGUUUUUGUUUUCUCACGCAGCCUCGCAGUGAGGGCAUAGCGAACUAUUAUUUCGCCUUUUACUAAAGAAUACCGUGUGCGCGCUGCUUUUAAGAGGCAUACGUCUAUUUUUGGAGGGUUUGUUUCUUAACAGAAUCAGCCCCGCAAUCUCAAAGUUGGAAUAUUCUGACGAGUUAUGUUCUACAGUGUGGAGUUCGAAAGGGUCUCGCUGCUCGAUGAAGUUUCUUCAUGGUAUCUAUCAUCUGCCCUCAUCAUGGUUGUCAAGGUGAGAAAAGUCGGUUGAUUCCAUCUGAUAUUCUUCUGUAAUGUAACAGGUUCAUGUAUGAUUUAGCCUACUUUCAUGUUUGUAGGCUCGUACAUGAUCCUACCACGAAGCUAUUAGCUAUCCGUGGAAGUCAACUCGAUCUAGAUUUUGUGAUGUGAUGCUUCCGUAGACAUCCCGUCAAUAUUAGCUACAUCACAUCUUCAGAACAGGAUCAUCAGAAGGACAUGAACAUGCUGGAAAUGUAGCUUGUGUCGGAAUUGAAACGCUGGAAGAGCAUGAACAUGGAUGGAGUAUCUGAUAAAGUGGCUGGCUGAAUUAGCCCGCACAAGCAAACAGAGGCCAACAAGGGAUAUGACAGAACACCACCAUAUGUUCUGAGAUUAUUACCAACAGGCAGACCCACCACAUCGCAGCUCGAAACUGGGUUAAAAGUUGGAGGUCCUGGCGAACGCAUGAUCCAAACCUUCAAGGAAUCGACGGAAUACAAAGUUAUCCGAGCUGCACUAGAAGUGAAUACUGAACCAAUUUCCCUGUAGUUCUCCAACCAAUACUGAAUUCUCAGCUACAGAUACGACAGGCCUGCCCAAUUUCUCAGUUCGAUACAUUAUUUCAUAAUAGACUUAGCAUCCCGCAAUUCAAAGUGUAACAACUAAGCCCAGAUUUCAAAUUGUCUGUGCAUCUAAAUCAACUGCUGCGUACUUUGUCGAAGGUUUCAUCAAUGUCAUGACAUAAUGAACUCCUUUCCCAACUUGAAAUUUUGAGGGCUAGUACAGACAAGUUCAGCAUCAAAUCUGUGGUUCACUUUUUCCUACUGAAAAGCCUUGUUGUUUCAGUACAGAUUCCUCUUCUGAAUAUAUUCCUAUCACUCAAAGCCUACAUGUUGCUGGUGUCUGAUCUCCUUCUUGCCCAGAAUAGCAGCAUUUUAACAGCGCAUUAACACCACAUUUCUGAACUGGAAGUCUUCUCGUGUAUAUAUAAACGCCAGAGACCAUACCUUUUAUCACGACCUUACUUGAACAGGAUCUGUUCUAUAGGAUCGUACCUCUGUGUCCUUUAGCACUAAGGAGACAAGAACUCAAGUCUGGUGUAUGAAUGACAUCCACUGGUGUAUGAAUGAUCUAUGACUGUAGAUGAUCGUUCUUAGCUUGCUUCAGCAGCAGCAGCGUGGAUGGUCUUGUGGCUUUCUGACAGACCCUUUUGUUUCUUUUACUUCAUUUUUACUGCAGGCUCACUGUUUAUUUAGUUACAUUCUGAACAAAUGUCAGCUUGUGCUGCGAUUAUUGGAUUUUCGAAGCUGGAAGAAGAAGAACAUGGUUGAAAUAUCUGCGGAAGUGGCUGGCUCAAUUAUCUGCACAAAGCAACAGAAAUGCUAAGAACCAACCAAUAAUUCACUAAAACAAGGCCACCAAUGGACAGAGAUGACAGAACAUCACAUCUUCUGAUAAAAUCAAAAGGCGGACACAGAUAUAUCACAGCUCGAAAGUCGGUGGUGGUGGGAAAAACAUGAUCUAACCUUCAAGGUAUCCAUGGAAUGGCACACUGUUACUUUUCCAGCAAGUGGUCUAUGAAAGACUUGCAGAAACAAACACAUUACUAAUUCCGAAGUGUUAGUUCACAUGACUUGCGUUACAAGCUAGUGUUGGCCUACCCAAAAGGGUCUCAUUUAUGUUCAAAAUACCACAUUUUCUAACAGAGAACAAAAUGAACUCUUUCUGGGUACAAAGACACAAGGCAAUGCAACGUUGAAACAUACUUACCUGGACGGGGUCAAUGGCUGAUCAUGAAGAGUCAUGGCCUAGAGUGGUGGCCUCCAUUGCACAUAUUGGAGGGGUGCCAUUCUAAGGUCUCCUCAAAGUAGGAGAGCCUACGUCAUAAUUUGUUGCUGUGGGGGCCUGCGUUCGCGCGGCCCCUACCCAAUUCCUCAGUUUGAUUAUUGUUUUUUACGGAAGUUGGUGGUGGUGAUGAGAACAUUCUCUUAUUAUGUACAGUAUGUAUCGGACAUAUCUCUUCAAGAUAAGAGGGCGUAGGAUGGGAGCUCGAAUGGCGUUGGUAUUAAAGAUCAAAGAAGCUGGAAAAUAUCGUAAUUUGUUCGUCACUUUUAUAGUCCGUCUUGCUCGAAAAAACGGAAAAAGAAGAAGGGGAAGGAAGGGUGGUUAAGGAAAGAUAGUGUUUCCCAGUUGUGGUCAUUGAAUUUACUUCGGGGACAAGACUCGUGACGAUGUAAAUGAAGACUGUUGGUUAAAGACUCGUUGAAUUGUUUGUACUGCCUUUCAGUUUCUGCCAUUUCAAUGAAAUUAAACUCACCCCAAAACUGCAUGCAGAAACACCUGAGGAAAAUCUUGUUCUACAUGAGUGCCAUAAUCUUCCAUUUGAAACUUUCUUUAAUGGCUUGGAUGGUCUUUAAUUGGAUCAUUCAGGCUGCAGAUUCAUGUAAAUUACUGUCCUAUUUUCAUGCGUGAUCAUAGCUCGAAGCUCGAAAGAGGGACCACAUUGGAUGAUUUUGAUGCCUAACAGGAAUCGGCUCACAUGAAAGAACAGUUGUUAACCUUUUGAAAAAUCAUACCUUUCUCGGCCUUUUGGCUAAGAUCAAGUGUAGUAUCUGUUCUUAUCAGUUUAAUAUCUGAUAUGUGGAUCAUCGAUUCACAACGAUAUUAAUCUUAUCUUUUCAGGGGGAGGGUUCUGCUAUUGUAGCUUGCUGCAGGGAAUCCUCAAGUGUCGCCCAUGCGUUGUUGCACUAUAGCAUUGGCCUGGCACACCCCACCAAUUCCAGUUCAAUAUUUGAUCUUAUUCUUGCAUUUAUCAACAUCUUCUGCGAUUAGCAACAAGCAGACGCACCUCACAGCUCGAUCCAACCUUACAAUGGAAAUGCACAGAUAAACAAGCAUGUGCUGUAAUGGCAGGGACACUUCUGCACUAAACAAGUCAUACUUCUGCAGUAAAGGAGUAGCUGGAACAUGGCAUGUUAAUAGUCCUACUCCUAUACAUCUCUGGAGUAUUUCCUCGAAACGGUUCGCUCUAACCGACCUGGAUUCUUGGCUACAGAUUCGAGAAGAGUUGUAUGAGCUCUUUUCCAACUUGAAAUUUUGAGGGCCACCACUUAGCAUCAAUUAGUGCAAAGGCAUUAGCUUACAUUGGAUCUCAGUUGUCACUAAACAUAUUCCCAAGUUUCAAUCCCAGUUCCGCCAUUCAGCGCAAAGGCAACUUUGUCAUACGAUGUUUCUUCUUCAGAAUGUAUGUCUAUCAUUCAAAGCCUACAUAUUGCUGAUGUCUCCUUCUUGCCCAGAUAGCAGCAGGAGAACAGCACAUGACUUACCACAUCUCUGAACAGGAACACUGAUUUUCUCUAUAUAAUUGCAGAGAUCAUAUGUAAUUGCGCGACCUUACUUGAACAGGAUCUGUUCUAUAGGAUCGUACCUCUGUGUCCUUUAGCACUAAGGAGACAAGAACUCAAGUCUGGUGGAUGAAAGAUAGCCACUCGGUCAGAGCGUGAUUAACGGCCUUUGAUUGCC